UCUGUUUCAAAAUCCUCACCCAAAUUAUUGCUUGCUACCUAAACAUAAAAUCCAAAUGGCAAAGCUAGCAACAGAAAACACUCACUACAGUUUAAACCUGAGGAUGGCGAAAACAAGAAAGAAAUCUCUUCUUUUCGAUCUAUACGAACCAAAAUGGAUUCUUCAAUGCAGACAACCUCAAGCACGCUUUGGAACCGCCUCCUCUGAAAGAGCCACCAGCUGUUUAAGUUCUUUUCUGCAUCCCCCUUCCUUUCAAUGACCCCUUCAUCACUUCCACACUAAUUGGGAGACCCCAAGAGACAAU
rnacentral:lncRNA from 1 species